AAACAUCAGCAAAACGAACAGUAACGCAAGCAAUUUCCAUACACCAUCGCACAACAGGUUGAAGUCGAGAGGGAUUUCUUUGCCAUGAUGCCAUCAAUGGGUUCCCAAAUAUGAACGGAGCAAUAGACAGCACACACAUAGUCACAAAAGAACCAUCCCAAAAUGAUUUCAACUAUGUGAACAGAAAAGGUUCCGCUCUUAAUCUGCAAGUAAUAGGUUGUGAUGUGCAAAGACGCUGCUGAAUGUGGAGGAAAGGUGGAAUGCAUUACUCGUUAAUUCUGCAGAACAGCAAUGUUCGCCUAUACGCCUAUAGGAGGGAGCUGUUGAGGAUGGAUGGCUUAUUUGUGAUUUGUGAGUGUUGCCUACUAAUUUUAAGCAUAUUUUACAUUGUUAAAGCAACUUGAAUUGUCCUAAUAGCCCUCUCUUUGUAGAGGUGGUUUUAUUUUUACUGGUCAAGCCACAACUGAGAUAGCCAAAUAAAACAUUUUGGUUGUACUCAAUCUCUGACACCAGCACAUAUUUCUGUCUUGUAGUUUUUUAGGUUGCGAUGUUGUAUUUCAUGGUACAGCGUUGUAUAUUCCGCGCGGGCUUUAUUAAAGGGAUGAUUUUGACCAUUAAUGGUCUCAAUUUGGUCUCAAUUGGUCAAUUUUGCAUAGAAACUAUUCUAAAAUACUACUUACGAACGGAAUUUAGAAUGUUCGUAGGCAUAAAAAAGUAUGAUAUAUCAAACAAUUUUAUGAACGUCCAAUGCACACAAUUGAUAAAUACCAUUGGUUCUCAGCCUCUGUGCCCGUGCACGACCUUGGCUAUUUGCAUUUCUAAUUAAUCUAAUUAACCGUAUGGUCCAAACAAUACCUUUAAAGCCCGUGUGGAAUAUACAACGCCGUACCAGGAAAUACAAUGGCUUAACCAAAAAAAGAGAUGCAGAAAAAUACUUUUCCGAGACUGAAAUAGGUGCUGGUGUCAGAGAUUAGGUACAACAAAAAUGUUUUAUUUGUCUCGCUCAGUUGUGGCUUGCCCAUUAGAAAUAAAAACAUAGCUACAAAGAGAUGACCUUUAGGACAAUUCAAGUUGCUUCAGCAAUGGCAAAUAUACUUCAAGUGUUUAGGCAACACUCACAAAUAAGCCGUCUACCUGGGGCGGCAGGGUAGCCUAGUGGUUAGAGCAUUGUGCUAGUAACCGGAAGGUAGUAAGUUCAAACCCCCGAUCUGUAAAGGUAAAAUUCUGUUGUUCCGCCCCUGAAUAGGCAGAACAGGAGAUGAUCGUGGACUUCAGGAAACAGCAGAGGGAGUAGCCCUCUAUCGACGGGACAGUAGUGGAGAAAGUGCAAAGUUUUGUUCCUAGGUGUGCACAUCAUGGACAAACUGAAAUGGUCCACCCACACAGACAGCGUGGUGAAAAAGGUUGAAGAAAUGUGGCUUGUCACCUAAAACACUCAAAAACUUUUACAGAUGCACAAUCGAGAGCAUCCUGAAGAGCUGUAUAACCGCCUGAUAUGGCAAUUGCUCCGCCCACAACCGUAAACGCAUCACCGGGGGCAAACUACCUGCCCUCCAGGACACCUACACCACCCGAUGUCACAGGAAGGCCUAAAAGAUCAAGGACAACAACCACCCGAGCCACUGCCUGUUCACCCCGCUAUCAUCCAGAAGGCAAGUGUCUGUCUGUCAUAUUGUCACGGCUGUUGAAAGGAGUGGACCUGUCACCUAGUGGACCGAGGUGCAGCGUGGUGAGCGUACAUUUUCUUUAUUAACUUAAAAUGACGCCAAACAAAACAAUAAACACUACAAAACCAAACUGUGAAGCUCAAAGGCGAUGUGCCCUAAACAAAGUCAACUUCCCACAAACACAGGUGGGAACAAGGGUACCUAAGUAUGGUUCCCAAUCAGAGACAAUGAUAGACAGCUGUCCCUGAUUGAGAACCAUACCCGGCCAAAACAUAGAGAGAGAAAAUCAUAGAAACACUAAACAUAGAAAUGCCCACCCCAACUCACACCCUGACCAAACCAAAAUAGAGACAUAAAAAGGAUCUCCAAGGUCAGGGCGUGACAUACGUUUGAUCAAUGGGUAUAAUGGUAAAUCUGAUCCCCAAGGUCCUCAUAGGCUCACUCGGAUAUAUAGAGUUGGAGGUAAAGAAAAAAAAAUGAAACUAGGACAUUAAAACACUGGCAGAAUGAUUUAAUCUACAUCCAUUCACAUAAAAUAUGUCUUUUAAAGUAUAAAUACCCUUCUAAGACCACUGUCUUUCUGGA
ensembl:lncRNA